rnacentral:rRNA from 1 species
AGAGUUUGAUCCUGGCUCAGAACGAACGCUGGCGGCGUGCCUAACACAUGCAAGUCGAGCGAGAAAGCCCGCAAGGGUGAGUAAAGCGGCGCACGGGUGCGUAACACGUGGGUAAUCUGCCCUAGAGUCCGGAAUAACUCGCCGAAAGGCGUGCUAAUGCCGGAUUAGACCACGGGAGCUUCGGCUCCUGCGGGAAAAGGUGGCCUCUGUACACAAGCUAUCGCUCUAGGAUGAGCCCGCGGCCCAUCAGCUCGUUGGCGGGGUAAUGGCCCACCAAGGCUACGACGGGUAGCUGGUCUGAGAGGACGAUCAGCCACACUGGAACUGAGACGCGGUCCAGACUCCUACGGGAGGCAGCAGUGGGGAAUCUUGCGCAAUGGGCGAAAGCCUGACGCAGCAACGCCGCGUGUGUGAUGAAGGUCUUCGGAUCGUAAAGCACUGUCGCGAGGGACGAAUAAGGGGCGGGCUAACAUCCCGUUUCCGGAUGACGGUACCUCGAGAGGAAGCACCGGCUAACUCUGUGCCAGCAGCCGCGGUA